rnacentral:tRNA from 1 species
GGCCCUAUCGUCCAGUGGUUAGGACACCUGGUUUUCAUCCAGGUAACUAGAGUUCGAUUCUCUAUAGGGUCA